UAGGGUCGCGCACGCGUCUCCUUUGACCAAAACCCAAACCGUGUAUCUUCUGAGGGGGUCCUGUGAUACGCCCCUCGCGGGGCAGGAGGGCCGUUCUACGAAUCCUCGGUCGGUGGCCCGCUGGGGGGGCCUCUGCCAGCCUCCUGGGACUCGCGUCCCGGGGGUGCUGGCGCCGACCGCCAGGAUCCCUGUACCAAACUAUUGAGAUUUGAAAUAUGACAAAAUCAAACCAUUA
rnacentral:misc_RNA from 1 species